rnacentral:tRNA from 1 species
AGCCUCGUGGUGUAGGGCACAUCAAAUUGCAAAUUUGAGAGUGCAGGUUAGUUACCUGCCGGGGCUU